rnacentral:rRNA from 1 species
GACGAACGCUGGCGGCGUGCUUAACACAUGCAAGUCGAGCGGAGCGGCGAACGGGUGAGUAACGCUAGAGUAACUGCCCCCCUCUCUUGGAUAACAGUUGGAAACGGAUGCUAAUACCAAAUAGUGUGGGAUGACUCGCGUCCUAUCAGCUUGUUGGUGGGGUAUUGGCCUACCAAGGCGACGCCGGGUGGCCGGACUGAGAGGGCGACCGGGCCCAGUGGGCUGAGAUACGGCCCAAAUGGCGACGGGGGGCAUGGGGGGGAAUUAUGGCACAAGGCGGGACACGCGGUGGCAGCAUCGUCGGGUGCUGAAGGUCGGCCUUCAGGUUAUAAACCGCUUUCGGCCAUGAAGCGGUAGCUGCAGAAGAAGCACCGGCUAACUACGUGCCAGCAGCCGCGGUAAUUC